rnacentral:pre_miRNA from 1 species
UAAUGGAACACCUGGGGACCUUGUUAAAAUGCAAGCUCUGAUUCAGGGGUUACAGCCUGAGAGUCUAUAUUUUUAACAAGCUACCAGGUGUUCUAAUG